CCUCAUGUGUGCUCAGAAAAUCUACCAAAGACCAAGGCGUUGUUAAAGCAUGCUGGGGGAUGUCAGAAAAUUCUAGCUGUUUCUAGAAUACACUUGGGACUCCUACCCUAUGUGUUUGUAUUCCUUUUAUAUUAUUCAUAUUAUAUUUAUUCCCACGUAAGUGGUCUAUACACAAAUCUACAGACGGUCUGCUGUGGACCCAAGUGUUUUGAAAUAAUCCAUCUUGCUGUUUUGUGGAAAGACAGUGGGAACCAAACACACAUCGGCUGGAGGAGCAGUUCAUCAGUAGAGGGCUUGCUUAGCAUGGGUGUGCCCUUCAACUCCGUGAAACAAAACACAAAGAAUAACAACCAAUCAGCAAACAGAUAAUACGGACUGGAAAUACUGGAGAUCAAGAAACUAGCUCUACAAACGGAUCUGGAGAAGUGGCCAAAUCUACAAUGCUGCAUGUUCUACAAGUGACUCCAUUUCUUCAACUGGGUGGAUGCUGUGAGGGUCGCGGGGGUCUUGGACCAGUGGAUCAUCAAGCCAACAACAAGGAAUACACAGGGCUAGCUUAAGUGGAGUGUCAAGCAUAGCUAAGAAUGACUGAGUUAAAUAUGAUCUUGAUUCACAAAAGCCAGCUAUGAAAACAGUGCUUGGUCAAUCAGGAAAAGCCGCACAUGGAUUGUGUAUUAGACAAUUUCAAGGAAUCACUGAUUUGUUAAAGACACUAACACAUGGUUGAUUAUAUUUAAGUAUUUAUAGGUGAAGUGAUUUAACAAGGUGGUGGAUGGUAAAUGGCUACAUACUAAUGGCUGAAGCUGAAUACACGUGCAGUAUCUUGUGUAUGUAGAGAAACUUACACUAAGAAUUAAAAGAAAAUGAUGGCAAUCUGAAGGGUUGAAAUAUUAUACAUGUAGUCUGUAGCCAUCCAAGGGUCUCAAACAGCUCUCCCUUGAAAACAUUGUCAGCUGUGGCUCACGACUGUAAUCCCAGCACAGGCCGGGUGGAGGCAGGUCUGGGAGUUAUGUAGCAAGUUCCAGGCCAGUCUAAAACUACAUAGUGAGCGCUGAUCUCAAAAACACAGCACACCAUCAGCUAUCUAAUUAAAAAAUAACCAGAAAACCAAAAGACCAAACCAGCUACGGUAGUGCCUAUCCCUCCGAGCUUCAAGCAUUCAGCAUCCCACCGCAACAGUGGACUUCUUGGCUUUUUUUUUUUUUUUUUUUUUUUUUUUUGCUCCUGUUAGGGAUGGUGUGUGGAUUUGGUCCUUUCAAAGACCUUGAAUUCUCAACCAAGAUCAGAUCGUUUUCAAAAUACAAGCUCAUUUAUUACUUCAAUUGGACAAAUCACGACUCAAAUCCAGAAGGCAGUCUUGCCCUUCAGCUGUGGGGUUGGAAGGUGGGGGGCAGCUGCCAGAGCUCUGGGUUUUAAGUGAGUUUCAUCUUCCCUGCCCAGCUGCCUUAUCAGGGAACACGAAUCUCCAAAUCUCUGGGGGAGGAAACACUGGCUUUACUCAACAGAGGACCAGCCUACCUUGGAAGUCCUUGCAUGCCUUGGUCCUGCCAAGGGCGGAUGCCAGCAUUCCUUUUCAUCACCUGGAAUGUUCUCCUUGUUCUGUUUAUUUUUACAAAUCUUUCUGUGUGCUCCAAACCUCAGCUUGCCCACUAUCAUCUGCCCGUGGAUGAUGGAGAUGCAUUCUCGUAUAAGAAAAACACGGAAUAACUUUCUUAUGAACACGAGGACUAAAACAACUCCCCUGUCACUCCUUGAAGAAGCCCUACCUCCCACCUGGCUCCUCACCCUCCCCUGGGCUUCCUUCCUGCCUUUUGUUUUUAUUAUGGAACAUUUCAAACACAUCCAAAGGGAGUCCGAAUAGUUUAACGGGCCCCCACGUGCCCUCCUAUUCUUUAGCACGCCAUAGCAUCUUCCAGGUUUUACCAUCUCCUCCGAACUAAGGGUUUUUGUUUGUUUGUUUUUCCAACAAGGCCUCACCGAGUAUCCCCAGGUGUCUGGAGUGCCCUAUGUAGAACAGGCUGACCUUGAACUUGGGGUGAUCCUCCUGCCUCUGCCUCUCAGGUUGCUGACAAUAGAGGCACCCUAUCUGAUUUCUGGUUUUGCUUUUGGAAGUACUUUAAAGCAACAAGAGCUCUCCCACCAGCUUGCCCGUCUUGGGCAGCCUACCCAAGGCUGUCGGUCAGCUGUCACUUGUCAUGCAUGCUGAAACAUUUUGGGUGAGGGUGUACUCUAAACGCAAGACACAGGCCUCAUGGCCGCUUUGAGUUUUGCAUUCUUCCAAAGAUUAGACAAGAAAACUUAAUUGCUCAAGGUAUCGUUUGCAUGGUCCAAAGACCCCGAAACACAGGCACACUUGGCAGUCUUGAGUUAAUCUUUCCCGCUGGUAAAAAACGUGCUUCAGAAAGCAGAGAAUGAAAUCUUGUGCUAACUGGCUUUUGUACUUGGCUUAAGCAAACUGAAUGGAAGGACGGUUGUUCACAAGUGUGAUCUUUGAGAGGAAACUGAAUAUAACUAAGUUUUUUUUUUUUUUUGUCAUUCAAAAAGUAGGAUUUUGUCUUCAUUUAGUGAACUUUAUGGAGCUCUUUAAAUGUCUGAGGGUGGAAGUUUGCUAAAAAUGAGAUGGCUACCAAGCACCAAAGAAUGUGAGACUCACUCUAGAGAAAUUUCCAAAAGAGUGACUGAUCUUGAAGUAAACCGCUCCUCCAGAAGACGGUGACAAUGAGGUGGAAUUCGCUUUCUUAUGGUCCUCCUGCCCUGGGUUGUGGUUUUCAGUCAGCAGUCACACAUAAUGACGAGAGGAUUAGGCCCCAUGGUGGGAGCCACCCACGCGCCGGGGAGAAACUGAUAGGACAAAAUGAAGCUCCAUUUGUAUUUGGCAUCAUGGGUUUGCUUGACAGUCUCCAGCCGUUAAUGGGACAGAUAACUGUUUCUUGAAAACGAUAAGUCAUUACGAGUUAUUCAUUAAAUAACAUAACCCAUC